rnacentral:rRNA from 1 species
AUGCCAAAGAAGGAUAGGCGCUCAGCUAUCACAUACAUCAAUGAUGACAAAGAGCGUGAUUUCACGUUCUCCAAGCGACGUGGCGGUUUGUUUAAGGUCGCUGCUGACCUCUCUGCCGUGACCAGCGCUAGGGUUGCUAUCGUCGUAGAGAAGGAAAAUGAGAAGAUGCAUUCCUUUGGGACGCCAUCUGCUGACCCCAUUGUUGAUGCUUUCCUAGCAGGUGCACCACUGGCAAUUCCACUUGCCGAUGAGGCAACGACUACUAGGAUUGCACAACUACAAAGUGAGGUGGCUCGCCUAGAUAUGCAUUGCAUGACAGAGUUUAAGGAAAACCAACUCUCCAUCAAGCAUAUGAAACAAAUCCUGGAGCAACACCCAGGUACGGUGGCAAACCUUAUCUUCUCGAAGGAAGAAGAACUCGGUCUUGAAGAUCUAAAAAAUCUAUCCAAUGAAAUCUAUCGUGUCCAUGAGGAAAUUGGACACCGAUUGCCACCAUUGCAUUAUGGCCACAAGGCCAUGACUAGUGGUGCAAGCAUGAUACAAAAUAUGCUACCAUCAAGUGGUCCACCAUCGAAUCCCAUGAAGAUUGUCCCUUCAUCAGUGCACUCACCGUGGGCUCACCAUCUGCCACAACACCAGAUGCCUUCGUCUUCACUACCACCACCACCACCAGGGCAGAUUGUGGCACCACAGUUUCCUUAG